rnacentral:lncRNA from 1 species
CUUUUAUGGCAGAAAGGAACAACCGUGGAAUUUCGAACUACAGCUGUGUAUCCUGCUCAUCAUAAGCUAGGAAAGCAUAAGCAUACCAUAAGCUAGGAAAGUCAGAGUUCAUGCAAGAGCAGGACUUCUGCCCAGGUGCUGAUAGGAACACUUUUUUUUUGGAACUUCGCAUUUGAAAUAUAGUUCAGUUGCAUAUGUGAACAGAAGUUGCAUAAUACCUAGAGUAAUGUAUAUGAGAGUUAAGUAUUUGGAGACAAGUUUUCAAAACGUUUUCAAAAAUGGAAGAAAUAAAUAUGUGUUUAUAUUCUUUAAUACUAGGGACCUUUUAAGGUGCAGCAGCAUUUGAUCUGAAUUGUCAGCUCAUGGAUACUUAGUAAUUGCAGAUGAGUUUCCUCUCCUGUCCUUUUUGUUCACUGGUACCUUAAACUCCCCUACUUCAGUCAGUCACAAUCAUGAUCUAAUUGUGAUCUCUCUUGCUGUUUCCCUACAGUUGUAAGAAAUUCUCUUGUGUGCUGAAGAGAGAUGCCCCAGUCUGAGGAUGCUCAGCCAUGCUUCUAUCCAGGAGGUACUACUGAAAGAAAGAAGUGGCUCUUUGAACAGCAAGGAAUUCUGGAACAGUGGCUGCAGUCCUGGGGCUGAAGAGCAUGUCUUCAACAAUAGGAGCUGAUGGUUUCACUAUAAAAAAACUGUCAUUAAAAUAACUGCUAAAUGUACAUAUACUGCAU